rnacentral:tRNA from 1 species
GCAGGUAUAGCUCAGUCGGCAGAGCGCCGGUCUCCAAAACCGGAAGUCGAGGGUUCGAGGCCUUCUGCCUGUGCCA